rnacentral:rRNA from 1 species
UCGAGCGCAACUAAUAUAGAAGCUUGCUUCUAUGACGUUAGCGGCGGACGGGUGAGUAACACGUGGGCAACCUGCCUGUAAGACUGGGAUAACUUCGGGAAACCGAAGCUAAUACCGGAUAGGAUCUUCUCCUUCAUGGGAGAUGAUUGAAAGAUGGUUUCGGCUAUCACUUACAGAUGGGCCCGCGGUGCAUUAGCUAGUUGGUGAGGUAACGGCUCACCAAGGCAACGAUGCAUAGCCGACCUGAGAGGGUGAUCGGCCACACUGGGACUGAGACACGGCCCAGACUCCUACGGGAGGCAGCAGUAGGGAAUCUUCCGCAAUGGACGAAAGUCUGACGGAGCAACGCCGCGUGAGUGAUGAAGGCUUUCGGGUCGUAAAACUCUGUUGUUAGGGAAGAACAAGUACAAGAGUAACUGCUUGUACCUUGACGGUACCUAACCAGAAAGCCACGGCUAACUACGUGCCAGCAGCCGCGGUAAUACGUAGGUGGCAAGCGUUAUCCGGAAUUAUUGGGCGUAAAGCGCGCGCAGGCGGUUUCUUAAGUCUGAUGUGAAAGCCCACGGCUCAACCGUGGAGGGUCAUUGGAAACUGGGGAACUUGAGUGCAGAAGAGAAAAGCGGAAUUCCAC